UCAGGGUCUUUUCCAGGGAGUCUUCUCUUCUCAUGAGGUGGCCAAAGUCUUGGAGCCUCGGCUUCAGGAUCUGUCCUUCCAGUGAGCACUCAGGGCUGAUUUCCUUCCGAAUGGAGAGGUUGGAUCUUCUUGCAGUCCAUGGGACUCUCCAGAGUCUCCUCCAGCACCAGAAUUCAAAAGCAUCCAUUCUUCGGCGAUCAGCCUUCUUUAUGGUCCAGCUCUCACUUCCAUACAUCACUACUGGGAAAACCAUAGCUUUUACUAUACAGACCUUAUACACCUUAUACAUUCAACUUAUACACCGCCCUAUACCUGGAGGUCUCAGGACAGUUCAAGACCACAACAGAUAAAACCAAACCAAAAGCAAUAAUCCCCAAAACCCCCGCCAAAAUAGCCACAUUUUAAAGGGGAUGUCAAUAAGAUCAACCAAAGGCCUGGUUAAAAAGGAAUGUUUUUGCCUGGCGCCUAAAGGUGUAUAAUGAAGGCACCAGGCAAACUUCUCUGGGGAGAGCAUUGAAAAAAGUAUUGAUGGAAGAGAUUCAUAAAGAUCAAGCGGGCUUUCUCCCGGGAAGACACUUGUCUGAUAAUUUGAGGAAUAUAAUUGAUAUAUAAUUGAUAUUUUGGAAAAACUAGAAGUGAACAUAAACACUAAAGCAGUUCUGAUAUUUGUGGACGCGGAGAAAGCUUUUGACAACAUCUCUUGGAGCUUUAUGAAGAAGAACCUACAGCGGAUGGGGGUAGGCCAAGGUUUUGAAAAUGGUAUAGGUGCAAUAUAUUCUGAACAAAAGGCUAAAUUAAUUGUAAAUAAUGUGGUGACGGAAGAAUUUAAGAUAGAAAAAGGGACACGACAGGGGUGCCCAAUCUCCCCACUGCUUUUUAUAUCGGUCCUGGAGGUUCUGCUGAAUAUGAUUAGAAGGGACCGGUUGGUUAAAGGUAUACAGGUCGGAGCCAAACAGUACAAACUGAGAGCAUUUGCAGAUGACUUAGUAUUGACGUUACAGGAGCCAGAAUCUAGUACUAAAAGGGUUUUAGAACUGAUUCAAGAAUUUGGUCAAGUGGCAGGAUUUAAAUUGAACAAGUUAAAAACUAAGGUUUUAGAGAAAAAUUUAACACCGAUUGAAAGAGAGAGGUUUCAGAAUGAGACAGGCUUGACUGUGGUUAAGAAAGUGAAAUACCUGGGGAUUAAUAUGACAGCCAAAAAUGGGAACUUAUUUAAAGAUAAUUAUGAAAAAUGUUGGACGGAAGUGAAAAAAGACUUAGAAAUUUGGUCAAAUUUGAAGCUUUCACUGUUGGGUCGUAUUGCUGUGAUAAAAAUGAAUGUAUUGCCUAGAAUGUUGUUUUUGUUUCAAACAUUGCAAAUUGUGGACAAGAUGGAUUGUUUCAAGAAGUGGCAGAGAGAUAUUUCUAGAUUUGUCUGGCAGGGCAAGAAGCCCAGAAUAAAAUUUAAGAUAUUAACUGAUGCAAAGGAAAGGGGUGGAUUUGCCCUGCCAGACUUUAAACUUUAUUAUGAAUCAGCAGCUUUUUGCUGGUUGAAAGAAUGGCUACUUCUUGAAAAUACAGACAUUUUGGAUUUAGAAGGUUUUAAUAAUGUAUUUGGAUGGCAUGCAUAUUUAUGGUAUGAUAAGGUCAAAGCACAUAAAGCAUUUAAAAAUCAUAUUGUCAGGAAAGCACUGUUUAAUGUUUGGAUAAGAUAUAAGGAUUUAUUGGAAAACAAAACCCCAAGGUGGUUGUCACCGAUGGAAGCGAAAGCUCUGAAAAGGCUCAAUAUGGAGGCCAAAUGGCCGAAAUAUUGGGAAAUUUUGGAACAAGAAGGAGACAAACUGAAAUUGCAGAGUUUCGAGAAAUUAAAAAACAAAGUGCGAGAUUGGCUUCAUUAUUAUCAGAUAAUGGAGGCAUACAAUUUGGAUAAGAAAAUUGGCUUCCAGGUGGAAAAAUCAAAACUAGAAACAGAAUUGUUAGAAUCCAAAACUAAAAAUUUGUCAAGAAUGUAUAACUUGCUGUUGAAAUGGAAUACUCAGGAUGAAACGGUGAAAUCUGCUAUGAUUAAAUGGGCACAAGAUGUUGGACAUAAUAUUAUGUUUGCUGACUGGGAACAGUUAUGGACCACAGGUAUGAAGUUCACGGCAUGUAAUGCCCUAAGAGAGAAUAUUAUGAAAAUGAUAUACAGGUGGUACAUGACCCCAGUCAAGCUUGCAAAAAUCUAUCAUUUGCCCGAUAAUAAAUGUUGGAAAUGUAAAGAAACAGAAGGUACAUUCUUUCACCUUUGGUGGACAUGCCCAAGGAUUAAGGCUUUCUGGGAAAUGACAUAUAAUGAACUGAAAAAGGUAUUUAAAUAUACCUUCUUGAAGAAACCAGAGGCCUUUCUCCUGGGCAUCAUCGGCCAAUUGGUGUCAAAGAAGGAUAGAACUUUUUUUAUGUACGCCACAACAGCAGCAAGAAUACUCAUUGCAAAGUAUUGGAAGACACAAGAUUUACCCACUUUGGAAGAAUGGCAGAUGAAGCUGAUGGACUAUAUGGAACUGGCAGAAAUGACUGGCAGAAUCCGAGACCAGGGAGAAGAGUCGGUGGAAGAAGAGUGGAAGAAAUUCAAAGACUAUCUACAGAAAUAUUGUAAAAUUAAUGAAUGUUAGAAUGAUGUUGGAUAGAAAUUAAGUGGUUUCCAGCUGUAAUGCUUUAAGGGAAUAUGAAAAAGGGUUAUAAAUAGGUAAAAAUCUAAUGCUAUUAUUUUUAAGAUCAAGGAUUAGGAUAAUUAAAGAGGGUAAGGAUUUGCUGAACCAACAGAUUGAAGUGGAAUACAAAAAGGGAGGUAUGAGGAGGUCGGGAAACAAGCUAAAGGAAAAUAAGUAAUGGAAAAUCUGUGUGUUUUUAACCAUUUUUAUUUUGUAUUUUUGUUAUUUUUUCAUUUUUAUUGUAAUAUUUUAAGAAUAUCUUAAUAAAUAUCUUAUUAAAAAAAAACAAACUUCUCUGGGGAGAGCAUUCCACCGACGGGGAGCCACUGCAGAGAAGGCCCCGUUCUCGUGUUGCCACCCUCCGGACCUCUUGAGGAAGGACUCACGAAGGAAGGACUCAGAAGAUUAUCUCAGGGUCCGGGUAGGUUCAUAUCGAAAGAGGCAGUCCUUGGGGUAUUGCGGUCCUGAGCCGUUUAAGGCUUUAUAGCUCAAAACCAGUACUUUGAAAACCCCACGUUUUUGUGUUGCCACCCUCCAGACCUCUCGAGGAGAGGAGAAACACGAAGAAGGGUCUCAGAAGAUGCAGAACAUAGGUGUGACCCCGGCAUCUGGUGUUAUAAGAAUUCAAGGUCUCAAAUAUACAAAUUAAAUGUUCAUAACGUGACAAAGCAGACACAUACGUAAGUAUAUAAACCACUUGUCUGCAAAUAGUACAGUGGUACCUCGGGUUACAGACGCUUCAGGUUACAGACUCCACUAACCCAGAAAUAGUACCUCGGGUUAAGAACUUUGCUUCAGGAUGAGAACAGAAAUCGUGCAGCGGUGGCAGCGGGAGGCCCCAUUAGCUAAAGUGGUGCUUCAGGUUAAGAACAGUUUUAGUUUAAGAAGGGACCUCUGGAACGAAUUAAGUACUUAACCCGAGGUACCACUGUACAGGAGAGCAAUCCUGAAACCAUUUUGACUCUCCCCAAUUGACCUCAAAUGUUUCUCUGCGAGGAGGAAAGAAAUGGGAAAAGCCUCGUCAUUGUCUUUUGCUUACCUGCCUUUAGGGCAUCUCAGUGUAUGAAUAGGGGGAGCCUGUGACCUGGAUUCAGGAAUUAAUGUAUUUACCAUCACAAAAGAAUGGCCCAGCUGCCUAAAUAAAGCAAUCACAGGCCAUUGUCAUUUCUGUUGUAGACUGAUUCUUCUGUGAUGUGUGUACGGUGUUUUGCAGGGUGGUCUUGAGCUACAGAGUGGGCAGUUUCAAAAGCCUAUAUAAGAGCUUGCACACCAAUGUUCUGGGUUCAUCCUCCCUCCUGCGUGUGGUGAGUGGGGACCGUGUUGCAACAGUUGAAUAGAGAUCAGGCUUACUAGCUGCUUUGCUUCUCAAUCUUCUUCUCCUUCUCCUUCUCCUUCUCCUUCUCCUCCUUCUCCUUCUCCUUCUCCUUCUCCUCCUCCUCCUUCUCCUUCUCCUUCUCCUUCUUCUUCUUCUUCUUCUUCUUCUUCUUCUUCUUCCUCCUCCUCUUCCUCCCCCUCCUCCUCCUCUUCCUUUUCCUCUUUUUUCUCCUCCUCUUCUUCUUCAUCGUCUUCUUCCUCUUCCUCCUCUUCGUCCUCCUCCUCCUCCUCCUCUUCUUCUUCUUCUUCUUCUUCUUCUUCUUCUUCUUCUUCUUCUUCCUCCUCCUCCUCCUCCUCCUCCUCUUCCUUUUCCUCUUUUUUCUCCUCCUCUUCUUCUUCAUCGUCUUCUUCCUCUUCCUCCUCUUCGUCUUCUUCUUCUUCUUCUUCUUCUUCUUCUUCUUCUUCUUCCUCCUCCUCCUCCUCCUCCUCUUCUUCUUCUUUGAUGAUCCCUCGUAGCCGAGUAAGAUUGUCUUCCAUAAACACGGUUUUAACAAUGAGUCCAUAAGUGACUAUAGAGGCCAAUUCAAGUGACUAUAGAGACCAAAUCCACACAUCCUUCCACAGAGGGGACAUUGGUUUCCAGGCAGGAGUUGAUCACUGUGUGGAUUUGCCAAGCGUGUCUUCCUCUUAGCACAUUUCUCCCUUGCAUCCUGAGUUCGAGUGUCUUCAAAGCCCAUGACACCUUUGGUAAAGGCUGCUGUCCAACUGGAGCGCUCACAGGCCAGUGUUUCCUCUGGUUGGCAUCUGUUAUUUUCUCCUACCAGUAGGGAACCCACUUAAAGACUCUACAGUGGUACCUCAGGUUACAUACGCUUCAGGUUACAGACUCCGCUAACCCAGAAAUAGUGCUUCAGGUUAAGAACUUUGCUUCAGGUUGAGAACAGAAAUCGUGCUCCGGCGGCGUGGCAGCAGCAGGAGGCCCCAUUAGCUAAAGUGGUGCUUCAGGUUAAGAACAGUUUCAGGUUAAGAACGGACCUCCGGAACGAAUUAAGUACUUAACGCGAGGUACCACUGUAUAAGGGCUCUGGAAUAUCCCAUAAGGGAAAAGGAACAGUUUUUUCCCUACAUCAUCUGGCUAUAUAGCAAGUUUCUCAGCCACAAGCAACAGGUGAGCCAUAAGCUCUUUAUUAGACGAAUCCAGAGCAGCUGGGAAAUAGUAGGAAAAUAAAGCUAUCUUAGGAUCUGGUGAGGCAGAUUGUUUGGUGACUUACCCGUUGAAAGACUUUGCCCCAGAAAGGGAGACAGCUUAAAAAAACAACAAACCCCCUCUCAUAAUCUGAGUACCCAACAGAGUCAAAGCUGAAUGCUGGGAGACAGACAAAAGGCACGAUUUGCUCACACAGUGCAUACUGAAAAUUAUGGGAUUCCCUUGCAAAAGAGGCGACAAUGGUCUGGACAGCUUUGAAACAGGAUCAGGCAAGCUUGCAGAGGGAAAGGCUAUCCAUAAGCUACCGUAUUUUUCACUCUAUAAGACACACCAGACCAUAAGACGCACCUAGUUUUUGGAGGAGGAAAACAAGAAAAAAAUAUUCUGAAUCUCAGAAGCCAGAACAGCAAGAGGGAUUGCUGUGCAGCGAAAGCAGCGAUCCCUCUUGCUGUUCUGGCUUCUGGGAUAGCUGCCCAGCCUGCAUUCGCUCCAUAAGACGCACACACAUUUCCCCUUACUUUUUAGGAGGGGAAAAGUGAGUCUUAUAGAGCAAAAAAUACGGUAAGUUAUAAGGAUUCUAAGCUCUCAAAUAUAGAAUAAGUGUUCAUAAUAAAUGUGCAAGGCAAACAAAUACAUAACUUAUGUAAAACCACGUGUCUGCAAAUUGUACAGGAGAGCAAUCCUGAAGCCAUUUUGACUCUCCCAAAUGGACCACAAAUAUUUCUCUGCAAGGAGGAAGGAAAUGGGAAAAGCAUUUUUCGAGUUGUCUUUGGAAUGUAGGGGCUUACGCCUCCCUUUGCAAACACAGCCUGGCAAGUAUCUGUUAAGCUGAGCACACUCUCAAUAUGCAUAAGAGAUUCAGGAACUAAUAUUUACUAUCUCCAGGGAAUGGCCAGGCUUCCCAGAAAAUGCAAUCAAGUAAGGCAUUAUUAUCAGGUAUCCUGGAAGACAGGAGAGAAGCAGAGAAGCAAUACACUCAAAUUUCUGCUGCAGACCGCCUCCUUCUGUGAUGUAUGUAUGUUUUGGGGGGUGGUCUUGGGCUACAGGGUGGGCAAUUUCAAAAGUCUAUAUAGGGGCUUGUGCACCAUUGUUCGGGGUUCUCCUCUGUCCUGCGUGUUGUGAAUGUGGACCCUGUUGCAACGGCUCCUUGAAUAAAGAUCAGGCUUACUAGCCGCUUUGCUUCUCAAUAUUCUCUGGCUGGCCUCAUGUUAUUUUUCUCCUACCGACAGGGAACCCACUUAAGGACUCUGUACAGGCUCUGGAAAUGCAGGAUUUAAUCUCCUUCCGCAGGGCCUGUAAGCCAGAGCUAUUCCGCCUGGCUUUCAAUUUGAACUUGGCCUGAUCUUUUAUUCCCCUUCCUUCCCUCCCCCUCCCCUUUUUAUGAAGAUUACCCACUCUGGGAUCCCACAGUUAAUUCUCACCUGGUCUCCUCGCUGGCCCAAAUAGGACUAAUUUAGCCAGCUAGCCCUGGUGAUCAUCUAAUGUUUAUUGGAUGGAUUUUCCCCAUAAAUUGAUUUUUCAAUUCUGAACUUAUUGUUGCUGUUGUUGUUGUUUAGUCAUUUAGUCGUGUCCGACUCUUCGUGACCCCCUGGACCAGAGCACGCCAGGCCCUCCUGUCUUCCACUGCCUCCCGCAGUUUGGUCAGACUCAUGCUGGUAGCUUCGAGAACACUGUCCCACCAUCUCGUCCUCUGUCGUCCCCUUCUCCUUGCGCCCACCAUCUUUCCCAACAUCAGGGUCUUUUCCAGGGAGUCUUCUCUUCUCAUGAGGUGGCCAAAGUCUUGGAGCCUCAGCUUCAGGAUCUGUCCUUCCAGUGAGCACUCAGGGCUGAUUUCCUUCAGAAUGGAGAGGUUUGAUCUUCUUGCAGUCCAUGGGACUCUCAAGAGUCUCCUCCAGCACCAGAAUUCAAAAGCAUCCAUUCUUCGGCGAUCAGCCUUCUUUAUGGUCCAGCUCUCACUUCCAUACAUCACUACUGGGAAAACCAUAGUUUUAACUGUACCGACCUUUGUUAUUCACCUUUUAUACUGUAUUUUAUGCUGUUUUUUGUUGCAUCAAUUAAGUGUUUUAAAUUUGUUGUUAGCCACCCUGAGCCCAGUUUUCUGAACCGGGAAGGGCAGGGUAUAAAUAAAAAAAUAUUGUUAUUAUUUAUUAUGGAAGACCCUGUAAGGGAAAGGGAGCAGGGUUUUUUUGUUAUAACAGCUAGCGAUUGUGAUGUCCGUGUUCUCCCUCCAAGAUCAGAUGCAGCGAGUGCCACCGAGUGAGGAAGAGUUGCCCUUCUGCUUGGAUCCUGCCCGUGGGCAUCCCAUUUGGGGCAUGUGCUUAGCCACAGCAAGAGCAGGAAGCUGGAACAGACAGCCCCCCUUUCAACUGGUCCAGCAGAGCUCUUCAUAUACCCUUAAAGGUAAAGGUAAAGGCACCCCUGACCAUUAGGUCCAGUCGUGGCCGACUCUGGGGUUGCGGCGCUCAUCUCGCUUUACUGGCUGAGGGAACCAGCAUACAGCGUCCGGGUCAUGUGGCCAGCAUGACUAAGCCGCUUCUGGCGAACCAGAACAGUGCAUGGAAACGCCGUUUACCUUCCUGCUGGAGCGGUACCUAUUUAUCUACUUGCACUUUGACGUGCUUUUGAACUGCUAGGUUGGCAGGAGCAGGGACCGAGCAACGGGAGCUCACCCCGUCAUUGCGGGGAUUCGAACCGCGACCUUCUGAUCAGCAAGCCCUAGGCUCAGUGGUUUAACCCACAGCGCCACCCUCCAUCUACUGGUGGAAAACCCAGCGAUGGGAAAUUUCUGUGGUCCUUCACUAGAUGCCUUUAGCACGUGCUUAUAUUGCACCCGAUUAAAGUGCAGAGUGUUUGAGGACUGGGACAUUCGCAGGGAAAGCAAAAGGCUUGUUUACAAAGCUAUCGCAACACCAACCUUAUUGUAUGCUUGUGAAACGUGGAUCACUUAUAAACACCACCUCCAACUCCUCGAAAGAUUCCAUCAAUGGUGAUGGUGAGGCUACAGCAGCAGCAGCACGUAGGACCCAUGAGCAUAUAGGAAGAAGCCACUAUCACAUCUAGUCCAGCUCCUUUUUUGCAAAGUGGUCACCCAGCUGCCCCUCAGGGAAUAGGAGAAGAGCUUGCUGGAUCAGACCAGGGACCCAUGUCUCGACCCAGAACUGCCCACUCACAUGCAGAACCGGAAAGCCGUCAACAAAGCAACCCCGCGGGUCCUGGGAUCUCCGAGUCUUUUCCCCCCGUUUGGCGUCAUGCCUUUAUUCAUUACCAGGAAGCGAUUUUCAGCGCAGCGGUUUAAGACCGGGCUGCUUUUCAUCUCGCCUUUGUUCCUUGCACAAUGGCAAAGCGAAGAGAGAGAGAAGUUGCCGGAUAAAUAGAAAAUAGGAAGCAUAAAUCAAAGUCGGGGCCUGUUCUCGUUCAGCGCUCACCUUUACCUGGGGGCGGUGGGAAGGUGUCGCGGGAUAUUAAAAUGAGAACGAUCAAAAGGCGCUGGAGUUUCCCCCUCCCCUCUCUAAGGAAAUGCCUACCGCUUUGCAAUUGAAUGGGGGAAAGAGGGGAGGGGAGAAGACGAAGGGGGAUAAGAGAGAAGACCGAAUCGUAGAAUUGCGGCGUUGAAAGGGAGUCGAAGUGUCAUCUAGUCCAACUCCCUGCAAGGACUGAGGUCUGCAAAAAGGAGCAGCCUGUGUCCCAAGGGCAGGAUUUGACACUUAAUAAAGCUUCUGAAAUGCCCCAUGGCCAAAAUGCUCGUGGGUUUUCUGAAGUGCUGUCAAGAGAACAGGUUCCCAGCUUGAUAACACAGUAAGCGUAGACAAUUAAAAAGGAGGAUUUAUUGCAAAAACAGAGAGCUCCAGACGGCUCUAACAAAGCCGCUGGCAUCACGGCUCAAGAUGACCCUUCUGAAGACUCCUUCCGGUGUCGACAGAAGAUAUUGAACUUACGGCCCUUAUGUCUCUUAUUUUGCUUCCUGUGUAGCAGCCCUCCCAUUCGCCAACUCUUCGGACUUAGUGGAUCAGCUCCAACCUCUUCCUUUUCGGAGAGGUUGUCUCUGAGUUUGUUCGCGCCUGUUUGUGCUUCUGGCGAGCUUUGGCUGUGUUCAAGCCUGCUCUCAGUGACUGCCUUAUCAGCCUGCCCAUCAAGGUCAGGAAGAGCCGAAGUCUGAACUGCCAGCUCUCUUCUGCCUGACUAACAUCAAAGCCUCUCUGUUCCUGGCUGCUUUCUGCAGCAGGCUACAAAGCUUCGCUGGGAGCUGGCUCAUUCCUGACGAGUGCUGAAUUACAAGGUGCUGUUUCAAAAGUGGGAACUGACAGAGAGGCAGUGUGGUGCAGUGGUCAGAGUGCUGCACUGGGACCUGGGAGAAGCAACCGGGGUCCUCCAUCCAUCCCCACUCGGCCAGGAAGCUCACUUGGUGUGGCCAGCCACUCAGCCGCAGCCUUACCUACCUCGCAAGGUUUUUGUGGGAAUCAAACGGACCAUGUACGCCAGCUUGAGCUGUCAAUGCAAUAAUAAAAGAAUGAAAAUGAAAAUAUGUAAAUAAGCAUUGUGUAAGGGAUACGGGUGGUGCUGUGAGUUAAACCACAGAACCUAGGACUUGCCGAUUAGAAGGUCGCGGUUCGAAUCCCCGCAAUGACGGGGUGAGCUCCCGUUGCUCGGUCCCUGCUCCUGCCAACCUAGCAGUUUGAAAGCACGCCAGUGCAAGUAGAUAAAUAGGUACCGCUCUGGCGGGAAGGCAAAUGGUGUUUCCGUGUGCUGCUCUGGUUCGCCAGAAGCGGCUUAGUCCUGCUGGCCACAUGACCCGGAAGCUGUAUGCCGGAUCCCUCGGCCAGUAAAGCAAGAUGAGCGCUGCAACCCCAGAGUCGGCUGCGACUGGACCUAAUGGUCAGGGGUCCCUUACCUUUACCUUUUAAUGCACAUUUAAAGCACAUGGCUCCCUCGGCCAAGGAGUUUAAAGGAAGCCACUGCUGAGAUUUCCCAAGCCAUUGGGCUGUAGUGGUUAGAGCAUGGGUAGGCAAACUAAGGCCCGGGGGCCGGAUCCGGCCCAAUCACCUUCUAAAUCCAGCCCGCGGACGGUCCAGGAAUCAGUGUGUUUUUACAUGAGUAGAAUGUGUCCUUUUAUUUAAAAUGCAUCUCUGGGUUAUUUGUGGGGCAUAGGAAUGCCUUCAUUUCCCCCCAAAAAAUAUAGUCCGGCCCCCCACAAGGUCUGAGGGACAGUGGACUGGCCCCCUGCUGAAAAGGUUUGUUGACCCCAGGGUUAGAGUGUCAGAAUAGGAGCUGGGAGACUAGAUUUUGAACCCCCACUAGGCCGUGAAACUCACCAUAGAUGGUGUUGUCUCUGGGCCUAACCUACCUCACUGGGUUGUUGUAUGGAUAACAGGAGGAGGUUGGUGUGAACCGCGUAUGUUACGCCGCAUUCCUUGGAGGAACGAAAUGGGAAAGCAAUAGAAUAAAUGUGGGCGGACAGUGCAGGCUUUCUUCCUCCUCUUGUGCCCUCUGCCAGCCCCUGCAGGGCAUCGGUUGCUUGCCAGCUGUUGCAGUUGGGCAAGGCUGGACUUUUGCCCAGGCCUUGUGUUUAUCCAAAAGGGAACCUGUUUGUUUUCCUCCUGCUCCCGGAGUCGAUGCAAACACUCUCUCCUUUUGUUACCUGGCUGCUGCCCGCCCUCCCACCUCGCUGGCCCCAGUUACCGUACUGCCUGCAAAAGGGAGUCUUGCAGGACUCUGCCCAAAAAAGAAAGAAAGGAAAAAAGCCUGUUAGGAAAGAGGUGAAAUUGAAAUCAAACUUCACUGGGCAUAGAAUGAUCACCUGGAAAGAGAAGGGGACACAGAGGUCCUGGAACAGAUGAGAUGCUUUGAUCUACGUAUUUUUUGCUCUAUAAGACUCACUUUUCCUCUCCUAAAAAGUAAGGGGAAAUGUGUGUGCGUCUUAUGGAGCGAGUGCAGGCUGCGCAGCUAUCCCAGAAGCCAGAACAGCAAGAGGGGUUGCUGCUUUCACUGCGCAGCGAUCCCUCUUGCUGUUCUGGCUUCUGAGAUUCAGAAUAAUUUUUUUCUUGUUUUCUUCCUCCAAAAACUAGGUGCGUCUUGUGGUCUGGUGCGUCUUAUAGAGCGAAAAAUACGGUGUAUCUGAUUGUCGUGCAUGAGAAAGUGGGCAAAGGAAAGCUUUUCUCCCCCUCUCCUAAUGCCAGAACAGCUGACAGAUAAAAGAAAGAGUUAAAUUAUGGAAUUAACACCCACUAGAGGCACAGAUGGAGGGUUGCCUUAUGUUCAGAAGCUGAACAACUUUGAGGUUGAUUUCUCAACCUUUGGGCCAUUUCCCCUCCCUUCCCGCCCCCCAAAAAACCUUUGUGUCUGGAUUUUUUUACUUCCUGAAAUACAUCAACCCUACACAGAGGGCCGGGACGCAGGUGGUGCUGUGGGUUAAACCACAGAGCCUAGGACUUGCCGAUCAGAAGGUCGGCGGUUCGAAUCCCCAUGACAGGGUCAGCUCCCGUUGCUCGGUCCCUGCUCCUGCCAACCUAGCAGUUCGAAAGCACGUCAAAAGUGCAAGUAGAUAAAUAGGUACCCCUCCAGCAGGAAGGUAAACGGCGUUUCCAUGCGCUGCUCUGGUUCGCCAGAAACGGCUUAGUCCUGCUGGCCACAUGACCCGGAAGCUGUACGCCAGCUCCCUCGGCCAAGAAAGUGAGAUGAGCGCCGCAACCCCAGAGUCGGCCACGACUGGACCUAAUGGUCAGGGGUCCCUUUACCUUACACAGAUAGCCACUGCUGUAGAAAACUGGGGGUUGGGGUGAUCUUUGCUGCCACAAGGGACUCUGAGCCCCCUAAGUCCAUGACUGGUCUGAGAAAGGAUGGAGGCAGCUUUCAGUGAAAGUAAAGAAGAUUUUAAUUUUUCUGUUGCAAAAGAGUUCUGCUCCCUUCUUGCUAGGAGGUAAACAAACUGCAGGAACAUUUAAGACUUUAGACAUUGCCCCAACCCCUUAGUCAAAGACCCCCCCAAAAGCAUCAUACAUACAUCACAGAAACAGGGGUGCAGAAAUUUGAGAGUGUGGCUUCUCUCCUGUCUGCCAAAAAACCUGAAAAUGUUUUGCUGAUUGCAUUACCUGGGCAGUCUGGCUAUUAUUUUGAGAUGGUAAAUCUUGAAUCCAGGUCAUAGGACAUCCCCUCUCCAUACACAAUAUAUGCCCCAAAGACAGGAUUUGUAAGUGAAAGAACUAUUGGGAAAGCUGCCUGCAGGAUAUUUCCUUCUGUAGAGGAAAUAAAUUUAGAAUAAUCAGGAGAGCUAUUUGGGAUUGUUCUGUGGGCUAAAAUAACGUGUAGCUUUCUCAGGGAAUAUUUCCUAAAUUUUGAAGGGUGAAAGAUUGGGGUUUUCUGUGGAGCGUGUGUUUGCUAUGUGUGUGUGUGUGUGUGUGUGUGUGUACCCUAAAAUUUUGCUUAUCUUGCUUAUCCAAUCUCAUCCAGUCCCUGAUCCAUACCAAACAAGCAGAUUCGUAAUACAAUUUAAGGUCUGGGAGGGCAAACCUGCCUCUGUCUUUUACAUCUGUAAGUAUUUUAUGUUUUAUCUUUGGCCUUUUGCCACCCUCUCCCGAUAAAUCUUGAAAUCUCUUUCUGCCAUUUUUUAAAGCAUUCAUCUUUCUGGAUGGCUGGUAUUGAUUGAAAAAGAAAUAGCAUUUUUGGCAACACAUUCAUUUUAAUCGCCGAUAUUUUUCCUAACAUUGAGAGAUUCAUUCUGCUCCAUAUUUCUAAAUUUCUUUUUUCAUAGUUAUUUUUAAAUAGGUUUAUAUUUCUUGAUAUUAACCAAAUCCCUAAAUAUUUAACCUUUUUAUGGACUUCAAUCUCAAUGUUUUGUUCUAAUUCAGUUCUUUCUUCUGGCCAUAAUAAUAAGAAUACUAAUUUAUUAUUUAUACUCUGCCAAUCUGGCUGGGCUUCCCCAGCCACUCUGGGCAGCUUCCAAAAAAAUAUUAAAAUACCAUUGAUGAGAAGAGGACGCACUUCUGAUGUCCUUAUAAAUCCAGCCAGCUACUGUUAUCCCUUUUCUUUCAGUCCGAACGCCCUUGCAGGGGCGUCGUGACGACUGAGGCAGAGGAAUAAUAAUAAUAAUAAUAAUAAUUUAUUAUUUAUACCCCGCCCAUCUGGCUGAGUUUCCCCAGCCACUCUGGGCGGCUCCCAAUCAAGUGUUAAAAACAGUAUAGCGUUAAAUAUUAAAAAAUUCCCUAAACAGGGCUGCCUUCAGAUGUCUUUUAAAGAUAGGAUAGCUGCUUAUUUCCUUCACAUCUGAAGGGAGGGUGUUCCACAGGGUGGGCGCCACUACCGAGAAGGCCCUCUGCCUGGUUCCCUGUAACCUCACUUCUUGCAGUGAGGGAACCGCCAGAAGGCCCUCGGAGCUGGACCUCAGUGUCCGGGCAGAACAAUGGGGGUGGAGACGCUCCUUCAGGGACACAGGGCCGAGGCUGUUUAGGGCUUUCAAGGUCAGCACCAACACUUUGAAUUGUGCUCGGAAACGUACUGGGAGCCAAUGCAGAUCUCUCAGAACCGGUGUUAUGUGGUCCCGGCGGCCGCUCCCAGUCACCAGUCUAGCUGCCGCAUUCUGGAUUAAUUGCAGUUUCCGGGUCACCUUCAAAGGUAGCCCCACGUAGAGCGCGUUGCAGCAGUAGUAGGAAGGGAAGAACAGGGAUAUCAGAACGAAAGAGAAGGCUGCCUCUUUUUGCCCAGCAACAGUAUGCAAAAAUCUCUGUACACUUUUGCCGUGGAACAGAUGGAAGGGGGGUAGAAUAAGUGUAGAAACAGGGUGUCAAAGCUCACAAAUUUUCAAGAAGCCUUAGAAUAGCAUCCCAAUUAAGCGAGUGGCAACCUUCCUCUGGCCACGGCCUCGUCGCAAAAUCACACACAGACAGAGACCUCCUUUGGCAUUCUUUCUUGGAAGGUGGUUGGGAAGAAAUCCUCCCCCCCUUAUUUGUUUAUGCAGAUUCCCUUGCUUGCUGCUGUGUAUGUGCAUGGCUUAGAUUUUAUCCUAACAACCGCCCCACAAAGCAUAGCUGUCAACUUACAAAUUUGAAAAUAAGGGACCAGCAGCCUCAAAAAUAAGGGAUCAGCAGCCAAAAUAAGGGAUUUCCCCAGCACAGGUAUGUUCAACUUCUGAGCCCCUCCGAGCCAAAGGCAGAAAGCCCAGCCAGCAGCCAAACGAAGCCUCAAGCGGUGGUUCCCACAGCGCAGCAACCCGGCAAAGGGGAUGCAGCAAGGAAAACCACCGUCACCUCUCCGCUGGGAAGCGCUGAGCAAAGGCGAGUCCCCAGGCAAGGCGGCCGAUUUGAUUGGCACAAGGCAUGCAAGCUCCACCCCCCAGUCGUUCUUAGAUUCCUUAUUGGGUGAGCAACGCAGCCAAGCAACCCAGUUGGAGCCUCCCUCCUCCCUGGCCGGCAGGGAGGGAGGGAGAGGAGCUGCUUCCUUUGAAACCCGGGAAAUUUAAGGGACAUCAUCAAUAAGGGACAGCAGCAGGACAUGGUGCUGGGAUAAGGGACUUUCCCACCAAAUAAGGGACGAUUGAUAGCUAUGCCACAAAGUAGGCCAGGUGGAGACAGACAGACAGACAGACAGAGAGACUCAUCACCGGUGAUGCUUCAUGGUUGAGUGAGGAUUUGAACUCGGGUCUCGGAGCCCCUAGCCCGGCUGGCCCUCUAACAGCUACAUCACACUGGAGUUUGAGGUUUUGAAGGCACCCGAUAUCUUGGCUGCAUCCAUCUUUAGGGCACAGCUUCACAGGAAGCUUAAAGGGAACUCUCAAAUUUUUUCUCCUUUGCAAACAGGACUUGCUGUCAGCGCCAAUUAGCUGAUAGGUAGGGACGCGGGUGGCGCUGUGGGUUAAACCACAGAGCCUAGGGCUUGCCGAUCCGAAGGUUGGUGGUUCGAAUCCCCAAACGGGGUGAGCUCCCAUUGCUCGGUCCCUGCUCCUGCCAACCUAGCAGUUCCAAAGCAUGUCAAAGUGCAAGUAGAUAAAUAGGUACCACUCUGGCGGGAAGGUAAAUGGCAUUUCCGUGUGCUGCUCUGGUUUUGCCAGAAGCGCUUAGAUAUGCUAAGAGGGUAUCUUCACUGCGCUUCGGCGCCACUAGUGGCCAGGAGGUGGUAGUGCAGCUUUUAGACCUCCAGGUCGUCAGGGGACGUCAGAAGCCAAUGGGAGCCCUCUAGCCACUUUAAAACUCUUGGUUUAUCCACAGCUGUGAGACAUGAGAGAAGGCUAGGCUGCUAUGAUCUAGACGUGUGUACAAACUGACCCACACCCAGUGAAUGCCCAGACACUUGCCUGGCUGACUCAGAAAUGGCCUCCAACGUGUGAUGGCCUGGGAUUCGGACUCGGAUGCUGAACCUGAGGGAUCCCAGCCUGCACAGGAUUCCCCGCCUCCAGAACCAGCUGAGCCGGGGCUGGGGCAUGAGCCGAAGGGUCCUCACCUGUGCUGGAUCCUCAGGUGCAGGCAUCUGCUGAGUCUGCUCUGGCUCCGGAGGUGAUGGAGGACCCAUUGCCUGCAGGUGCUCCACUCCCAGCCCCGUCAGGGGAAGCUGAGGUUGCCUCUGGGUCCAGGAACCCCCCAGCCUCUCCUGAGCUGCAGAGGCUCAGGGCAGAGAGGCGGAGGGAACUAAGUUCCCGCAGGAGGAGUGCUCGCCUCCAGGCCAGGAGAGGCAAGUCACCUGUGGACCGGGGCCGCCCUGUGCCGCGGGGCAGAUAAAAGCCAGCCAGCCCCAGUCCCAAGUUGCGGGAGCAACAUUGUUGGUUGCUAUAAAGGUAAAGGGACCCCUGACCAUUAGGUCCAGUCGUGGCCGACUCUGGGGUUGCGGCACUCAUCUCGCUUUACUGGCCGAGGGAGCCAGCGUGCAGCUUCUGGGUCAUGUGGCCAGCAUGACUAAGCCUCUUCUGGCGAACCAGAGCAGCGCACGGAAACGCCAUUUACCUUCCCGCCAGAGCGGUACCUAUUUAUCUCCUUGCACUUGAUGUGCUUUCGAACUUCUAGCUUGGCAGGAGCAGGGACCGAGCAACGGGAGCUCACCCCGUCGUGGGGAUUCGAACUGCUGACCUUCUGAUCAGCAAGUCCUAGGCUCUGUGGUUUAACCCACAGCGCCACCCGCGUCCCUUUGUUGGUUGCUAGUUCCUGCCCGAACCCUGUCCUGCUUUUCUGCCUGAGCUCCUGAUCCGCCCUGGCUCCCUGCUUGCCAGCCUGUUCCUGACUUCACCCGACUCCCUGUCCUGCACCCAGCUUCAGCUACUACAGACUGCCUCCACGUUGCACCUUUGACUUGGACCUUGCCUCUUGGGUAACCCACAGGACCAACCCACAACGCCUCCUCUUCUGUGGCGUGAAAAACCCACAUUUCCCCCUCUUCUUUGUGAAAUCUCAGUGGCGUCUGUCUUCCAAGCCUAUUUUCGGUGUCAGAUUAUCUGGGGCCGAUUCCCCCUCCUUUCCACCUCCUUGUCAGGGGGGCAUCUGCUUCGAGUGCCCGCCUGUAAUUUAUGAGGUGUCCUUGCCUGCUGCGCCAGCCUUAACGAGCCGCGGACCUUUAACGAGACGAACGCCAGUGGCAUGAAUCUUUUUAAUUUCCUCUGGUGUGACGCGAAAUGUAGCCUUUCGCAGCCCACCCCCCUUCCCUCCCUCUCGUGCGCUUGGCAGCUCAAAAGGUCUGGGAAGAGAGGAGAGUUACGGGUAUGGAUCAGGACCGGGGUUACAGAGAGAAGACCCAGGGGCUGAGGCUCAGGUGGGUGGGUGGGAGGUGCUGGCUUGAGGGAGGAGCCACAUGCCCUGGAGGUGGAGAUUAUCAGGGCUGGAUGAGCCAUUGAGCAAAAUCUUCUUCUUCUUUGGCGAUCCGUCGUAGCCGAGUAAGAUUGUUUUCCGUAACACGGUUUUAAAAGUGAGUCCGUAAGUGGCUGUGGAGGCCAAUUCUGGAUCCACACGUUCUUCCACAGUUUAGAGAAGAUUGGAAAACCUUUAUUGCAUAUAUGGGAAAUAACUGUGUGCAGCUGAAAACGCUAGCAGCAUUAAGAUAAAUUCAACAGUGUAAACAAGUUAUGAUGGAGCCUUCUUCUUCUUCUUCUUCUUCUUCUUCUUCUUCUUCUUCUUCUUCUUCUUCUUUGGCGGUCCCUUGUAGCCGAGUAAGAUUGUCUUCCGUAAACACGGUUUUAACAGUGAGUCCGUAAGUGACUGUGGAGGCCAAUUCUGGAUCCACACAUCCUUCCACAGUGGGGACAUUGGUUUCCAGGCAGGAGUUGAUCCCGGUGUGGAUUUGCCAAGCGUGCCUUCCUCUUAGCACGUUUCUCCCUUGCGUCCUGACUUUGAGCAUCUUCAAAGCACACGACACCUUUGGUCAAGGCUGUUCUCCAACUGGAGUGCUCGCAGGCCAGCGUUCCCCAGUUGUCGGUGUUUAUACUACAUUUUAAAAGAUUUGUCUUUAAGCCUCUUUUGUUGACCACCAGCAUUACGCUUCCCAUUUUAAAGUUCAGAAUAGAGUAGUUGCUUUGGAAGACAAUCAUCAGGCAUCCACACAACAUGGCCAGUCCAAAGAAGAUGAUGUUGAAGGAUCAUCACUUCGACACUUGGGAUCUUUGCUUCUCCCAGUACACUGGCAUCAGUUCACCUGUCUUCCCAAGUGAUGUGUCAAAUACUUCAGAGACACCAUUGAUGGAAUCAGUACUCAAGCAGUAACCAGCUCAAUGUGCCAAUGGUCUGACUCAGUGUUAGGCGACUUUCUAUGCUCCUAAAGACAAUGACCAUAAGCUCACUCCAGAUUUGACAGCAACAGAAAAGAGUCUGAGGUGUGGCUUCAGAAUAGAGUAGUUGCUUUGGAAGACGAUCAUCAGGCAUCCGCAAAACAUGACCAGUCCAACGAAGCUGAUGUUGAAGAAUCAUCACUUCGACACGGGUGAUCGUUGCUUCAUUGAUUUCUAUCCACCCCGGUUAGCACCACUUAAUCUGCAGCUGCUGAGCAACAAGCCCCCAACUCCUUCUGCAAAGACAUACAAAGCUCUGGGGUGUCUUAAUCUGGGGGGAAGCAAGAGGACUCUGGCACCAGACUCUCCCCACACAGGGUGAACUCUCAUCUCCUGGCAGUGCUUCAACUGGCCAGAAGGUGCCGCCUCUGCGGCCACUUCCUGGGUGGUCAGCUGACAGGAAAUAAGGCUACAUCCAGCCUUAUAAAUCCUGCUGACUGAGGGCUGGGCUUUGCCUCGUCGCUGUCGGUGCUGACCUUGAAAGCCCUAAGCGGCCUUGGCCCAAUAGACCUGAAGGAGCGUCUCCACCCCCAUUGUUCUACCCGGACACUGAGGUCCAUCUCCAAGGGUCUUCUGGCGGUUCCCUCCUUGCGAGAAGUGAGGUUACAGGGAACCAAGGCAGAGGGCCUUCUCAGUGGUGGCGCCCUCCCUGUGGAAGGCCCUCCCAUCAGAUGUCAAGGAGAGAAAGAACUAUCUGACUUUUAGAAGACAUCCAAAGGCAGCCCUGUUGAGGGGAGUUUUUAAUAACUGAUGUUUUAUUGUGCUUUUGAUUUUCUGUUGGGAGCCGCCCAGAGUGGCUGGGGAAAUCCAGCCAGAUGGGUGGGGUAUAAGCUAACUAACUAACUAACUAACUAACUAACUAACUCUUGCCCUGCAGUUCUGCUGUGCAAGCUCCAUCUGGGCGGGUGCAUCUGGGAGGGGUAUAAAUAAUAAAUUAUUAUUAUUUUUAUUAUUACAGUGGUACCUUGGGUUAAGAACUUAAUUCGUUAUGGAGUUCCGUUCUCAACCUGAAACUGUUCUUAACCUGAGACACCACUUUAGCUAAUGGGGCCUGCCGCUGUUGCCACACGAUUUCUGUUCUCAUCCAGAAGCAAAGUUCUUAACCUGAGGUACUAUUUCUGGGUUAGCAGAGUCUGUAACCUGAAGUGUCUGUAACCCGAGGUAAAGGUAAAGGGACCCCUGACCAUUAGGUCCAUUUGUGGCCGAAUCUGGGGUUGCGGCGCUCAUCUCGCUUUAUUGGCCGAGGGAGCUGGCACAUAGCUUCCGGGUCAUGUGGCCAGCAUGACUAAGCCGCUUCUGGCGAACCAGAGCAGCGCACGGAAACGUCGUUUACCUUCCCGCCGGAGCGGUACCUAUUUAUCUACUUGCGCUUUGAGGUGCUUUCGAACUGCUAGGUUGGCAGGAGCAGGGACCGAGCAACGGGAGCUCACCCCGUUGUCACGGGGAUUCGAACCGCCGACCUUCUGAUCGGCAAGCCCUAGGCUCUGUGGUUUAACCCACAGCGCCACUCGUGUCCCUCUUGUAACCCGAGGUACCACUGUAUUAUUAUUAUUAUCUGUUCACAGCAAAGGGACCCUGGAGGCAAAACAUCCUUGUGGGUGUGUUACGCACCCCACAUCAGAUCCUACUACAUACAGACUUCGGUUGCAGCGGGUUGGACUAAAUGACCCUUCGGGCCCCUUUCAAACGCGGGCGAUAAUUUUAUUCUUCCUUUCUGUGCGCCAGCCCCGUCCUUCUUCGCUGCCUCCGGCUGUUAUGACUCCUGCCAGACGGCAUGUACAUCCUUCCUCUUGCCUUCCCCACCCAUCUCCUCCUGCUUCCCCCCUCUGUAAUGUUAAAGCACUUAAUACACUCAGUAGAGCCCUCCAGCGCUGCCGCCUCGCCCUCGGCUUUUGUCUGGCACGCUGAUGGAGCGAGGUGCUCAGCUUGGCGAUGCAAUACAACCCCGUCUCAAGCACCCUUCAACGGGGCACCCAGUCAAUCUUGAGAGCUCUUCAGCUCCGGAUCCACAGAGGGCGUGGGGAUGGGGGUGGUCUGCACACGCCCCCACACAUACAUGCCACACGGAAAGACCCUACUCCAUUAUCCUUUCUGCGUCAAGUCAAGUGGGGACUCAGAAGGGGUGCGCGGCGGAACCAGACGUGGGGGCAUCUCCAUGCUGCCUCACAAACUGAUCCCCGGUGUCAAAGCGAUGAUUCUUCAGUGUUGGACUGGUCAUGUUGUUCGGAUGCCUGACUACCGUCUUCCAAAGCAACUCCUCUACAGUGGCACCUCAGGUUAAGUACCUGAGGUGCCACUGUAGAGUUGGACUAGAUAACUUUAGUGGUCCCUUCCAACUCUAUCGCUCUAAGGCCAACGUUGCAUCAAUAUACGGUGGUACCUUGGGUUAAGUACUUAAUUCGUUCCAGAGGUCUGUACUUAACCUGAAACUGUUCUUAACCUGAAGCACCACUUUAGCUAAUGGGGCCUCCUGCAGCCGCUGCGCCGCCGGAGCACGAUUUCUGUUCUCAUCCUGAAGCAAAGUUCUUAACCUGAAGCACUAUUUCUGGGGUAGCGGAGUCUGUAACCUGAAGCGUAUGUAACCUGAAGCGUAUGUAACCCGAGGUACCACUGUAUUCCGAACUUAUAUAAUAAUAAUAAUUUAAUUUAAUUGCAUUAGCAUACAGCCAUAGCACAAUAAGACAAUACAAAAAAUGUUGGGGACAAGCAACCAAGCAAAAUUCAAAGCGAUAUUGUAUUCCGAACUUAAAAACGGAAGGCGUCAACAAAAGAGGUUCAAAGACUCUCUCGAGGCAAAUCUGGAAAAAAAAUGUGGUACAGUGGUACCUCGGGUUACACGCGCUUCAGGUUACAGACUCCGCUAACCCAGAAAUAGUACCUCGGGUUAAGAACUUUGCUUCAGGAUGAGAACAGAAAUUGUGCAGCGGUGGCAGCGGGAGGCUCCAUUAGCUAAAGUGGUGCUUCAGGUUAAAAACAGUUUCAGGUUAAGAACGGACCUCUGGAACGAAUUAAGUACUUAACCCAAGGUGGUGGUUGUUGUUGUUUAGUCGUUUAGUCAUGUCCGACUCUUGGUGACCCCCUGGACCAGAGCACGCCAGGCCCUCCUGUCUUCCACUGCCUCCCGCAGUUUGGUCAAACUCAUGUCCGUAGCUUCGAGAACACUGUCCCACCAUCUCAUCCUCCGUCGUCCCCUUCUCCUUGUGCCCUCCAUCUUUCCCAGCAUCAGGGUCUUUUCCAGCGAGUCUUCUCUUCUCAUGAGGUGGCCAAAGUCUUGGAGCCUCAGCUUCAGGAUCUGUCCUUCCAGUGAGCACUCAGGGCUGAUUUCCUUCAGAAUGGAGAGGUUUGAUCUUCUUGCAGUCCAUGGGACUCUCAAGAGUCUCCUCCAGCACCAGAAUUCAAAAGCAUCAAUUCUUCGGUGAUCAGCCUUCUUUAUGGUCCAGCUCUCACUUCCAUACAUCACUA
rnacentral:lncRNA from 1 species